rnacentral:rRNA from 1 species
AGAGUUUGAUCNUGGCUCAGGAUGAACGCUAGCGGCAGGCCUAAUACAUGCAAGUCGAACGGUGUCUUCGGACAUAGUGGCGCACGGGUGCGUAACACGUAUGCAACCUACCUUACAUUGGGGGAUAGCCUUUCGAAAGGGAGAUUAAUACCGCAUAAGACAGUAACUAGGCAUCUAGUAGCUGUUAAAGAUUUAUCGAUGUAAGCUGGGCAUGCGACCAAUUAGCUAGUUGGUGAGGUAAUGGCUCACCAAGGCUAUGAUUGGUAGGGGAACUGAGAGGUCAAUCCCCCACACUGGCACUGAGAUACGGGCCAGACUCCUACGGGAGGCAGCAGUAGGGAAUAUUGGGCAAUGGACGCAAGUCUGACCCAGCCAUGCCGCGUGCAGGAUGAAGGCGUUAUGCGUUGUAAACUGCUUUUAUACAGGAAGAAACGACUCUUGCGAGAGGCAUUGACGGUACUGUAUGAAUAAGCACCGGCUAACUCCGUGCCAGCAGCCGCGGUAAUACGGAGGGUGCAAGCGUUGUCCGGAUUUAUUGGGUUUAAAGGGUGCGCAGGUGGUUUAUUAAGUCAGUGGUGAAAGACGGUCGCUCAACGAUUGCAGUGCCAUUGAAACUGGUAGACUUGAGUAAAGUAGAGGUGGGCGGAAUUGAUAGUGUAGCGGUGAAAUGCAUAGAUAUUAUCAAGAACUCCAAUUGCGUANGCAGCUCACUUGGCUUUUACUGACACUCAUGCACGAAAGUGUGGGUAUCAAACAGGAUUAGAUACCCUGGUAGUCCACACUGUAAACGAUGAUAACU